rnacentral:rRNA from 1 species
UACAGAGGGUGCAAGCGUUAAUCGGAGUUACUGGGCGUAAAGGGCGCGUAGGCGGUUAUAUAAGUGGAGAUGUGAAAUCCCUGGGCUUAACCUAGGAACUGCAUCUCAUACUGUAUGGCUAGAGUAUUGUAGAGGGUAGUGGAAUUUCCGGUGUAGCGGUGAAAUGCGUAGAGAUCGGAAGGAACACCAGUGGCGAAGGCGGCUACCUGGACAAAUACUG